UCUGAAUCUGCGAACGGCUCCGCAAACCAGUUGUAAACUAUAGCAAGUACUUCGCGUGGGCCGCUUUAACCGGUGGUCCGCGCGUAAUAUGGAUAACCCUGGUAAUUCUGAGGCUAAUACAAGAACGUAAUACCUGACCAACCGUCAAGGGAGGUCGGGAGGCGUGCGAGUAUUUUCGCGAGGUUUUUCCAGGAAAGGACGCACGUCCGGACCGCGACAAACACGGUUGGGGGCCCCGGUACCCUAGUGGGCUGGGGUUCUCACCUGAGCGGCUCUUGCUGUGCGCUUCUGACCUAUCAACUAGACGGCAGCGUAAUGGACAUGCUAUGGUGACAACGGUACAG
rnacentral:rRNA from 1 species